UACGUAGGCAGCAAGCGUUGUUCGGAGUUACUGGGCGUAAAGGGUGUGUAGGCGGUUGCUUAAGUUUGGUGUGAAAUCUCCCGCUCAACUGGGAGGGUGCGCCGAAUACUGAGUGACUAGAGUGCGGGAGAGGGAUGCAGAAUUCCAGGUGUAGCGGUGAAAUGCGUAGAUAUCUGGAGGAAUACCGGGUGGCGAAGGCGGCAUCCUGGACCGGCAUUGACGCGUGAGGAGGCGAAAAGCUAGGGGAGCAAACGGG
rnacentral:rRNA from 1 species